rnacentral:rRNA from 1 species
AAGAUUUGACGAAAGAAUAUCUAUCUCAGCUUAUUAAAAAAAAAUUAACUUGAGAGUUAAAAGGCUCUCAUAUCCUAAGGGGACGACAAGACCCUAUAAAGCUUUAUUUAUAUAUUUUUAUUUACUUCAAUAAAAAAUACAAAUUUAUAAAUUUUAUUGGGGCGAUAAAUAAACAAACAUUAUUAAUUACAACGUUUUUAACGAAAUUUAUAGAACGUUUAUAAAAACUUAUAACAAGUUACUUUAGGGAUAACAGCAUAAUUUCUUUUAAAAGUUCCUAUCGACAAAGAAGAUUAUGACCUCGAUGUUGGAUUAAG